GAGUGGCGAACGGGUGAGUAACACGUGGGUAAUCUCGCCCUGCACUCUGGGAUAAGCCUUGGAAACGGGGUCUAAUACCGGAUAUCACAACUUCAGGCAUCUGGGGUUGUUGAAAGUUCUGGCGGUGCAGGAUGAACCCGCGGCCUAUCAGCUUGUUGGUGGGGUAAUGGCCUACCAAGGCGACGACGGGUAGCCGGCCUGAGAGGGUGACCGGCCACACUGGGACUGAGACACGGCCCAGACUCCUACGGGAGGCAGCAGUGGGGAAUAUUGCACAAUGGGCGAAAGCCUGAUGCAGCGACGCCGCGUGAGGGAUGACGGCCUUCGGGUUGUAAACCUCUUUCGCCAGGGACGAAGCGCAAGUGACGGUACCUGGAUAAGAAGCACCGGCUAACUACGUGCCAGCAGCCGCGGUAAUACGUAGGGUGCGAGCGUUGUCCGGAAUUAUUGGGCGUAAAGAGCUCGUAGGCGGUUUGUCGCGUCGGCCGUGAAAUCUCCACGCUUAACGUGGAGCGUGCGGUCGAUACGGGCAGACUUGAGUUCGGUAGGGGAGACUGGAAUUNCU
rnacentral:rRNA from 1 species